rfam:Schistosoma curassoni strain Dakar, Senegal genome assembly, scaffold: SCTD_scaffold0017977
AUCCAGCUGAUGAGUUCAAAAUAAGACGAAACGUGUGUCCUGGAU